CCGUAAACGAUGAAUACUAGGUGUAGGGGUUGUCAUGACCUCUGUGCCGCCGCUAACGCAUUAAGUAUUCCGCCUGGGGAGUACGGUCGCAAGAUUAAAACUCAAAGGAAUUGACGGGGGCCCGCACAAGCAGCGGAGCAUGUGGUUUAAUUCGAAGCAACGCGAAGAACCUUACCUAGACUUGACAUCUCCUGCAUUACCCUUAACCGGGGAAGUUCCUUCGGGAACAGGAAGACAGGUGGUGCAUGGUUGUCGUCAGCUCGUGUCGUGAGAUGUUGGGUUAAGUCCCGCAACGAGCGCAACCCUUAUUGUUAGUUGCUACCAUUUAGUUGAGCACUCUAGCGAGACUGCCCGGGUUAACCGGGAGGAAGGUGGGGAUGACGUCAAAUCAUCAUGCCCCUUAUGUCUAGGGCUACACACGUGCUACAAUGGCAAGUACAAAGAGAAGCAAUACCGCGAGGUGGAGCAAAACUCAAAAACUUGUCUCAGUUCGGAUUGUAGGCUGAAACUCGCCUACAUGAAGCUGGAGUUGCUAGUAAUCGCGA
rnacentral:rRNA from 1 species